AUUGAACGCUGGCGGCAUGCUUUACACAUGCAAGUCGAACGGUAACAGGUUAAGCUGACGAGUGGCGAACGGGUGAGUAAUGCAUCGGAACGUGCCCGGUCGUGGGGGAUAACGCAGCGAAAGCUGCGCUAAUACCGCAUACGAUCUGAGGAUGAAAGCGGGGGACCGUAAGGCCUCGCGCGAUAGGAACGGCCGAUGUCAGAUUAGGUAGUUGGUGGGGUAAAGGCCCACCAAGCCGACGAUCUGUAGCUGGUCUGAGAGGACGACCAGCCACACUGGGACUGAGACACGGCCCAGACUCCUACGGGAGGCAGCAGUGGGGAAUUUUGGACAAUGGGCGAAAGCCUGAUCCAGCAAUGCCGCGUGCAGGAAGAAGGCCUUCGGGUUGUAAACUGCUUUUGUACGGAGCGAAAAGGUCCUUUCUAAUACAAGGGGCUCAUGACGGUACCGUAAGAAUAAGCACCGGCUAACUACGUGCCAGCAGCCGCAGUAA
rnacentral:rRNA from 1 species